rnacentral:rRNA from 1 species
CCUACGGGAGGCUGCAGUAGGGAAUCUUCCGCAAUGGGGGAAACCCUGACGCAGCAACGCCGCGUGAAGGAUGAAGGUCUUCGGAUUGUAAACUCCUUUUGUUAGAGAAGAUUAUACAGGUAACUAACGAAUAAGCACCUGAUAACUCCGGGCCAGCAGCCGCGGUAAUACGGAGGGGGAAAGCGUUACUCGGAAUCACUGGGCGUAAAGAGUGCGUAGGCGGGGUAAUAAGUCUGAUGUGAAAGCCUGUAGCUUAACGACGGAACUGCAUUUGAAACUGUUACUCUGGAGUGUGGGAGAGGUAGGUGGAAUUCCUGGUGUAGCGGUGAAAUCCGUAGAGAUCUAGAGGAAUACUCGUUGCGAAGGCGACCUGCUGGAACGUUACUGACGCUGAUGCACGAAAGCGUGGGGAGCAAACAGGAUUAGAUACCCCUGUAGUC